CGCCGCAGCUCCGUCCCGAGGCGUCCCCGCCUCCGCAGCACCCGCCCGCCGGGGCGCUCCUAUUCCGUCUCCCGCCGUGCAUGCGAGGGGCGGGGCAGAACACGCCCCGUUCUUCCAAGCGACUUUCCCGUCGCGUAGGCUGCUCUGGCGGCUGCGGAGGGGACGGUGGCAGCGUCCGCUGGCGUCUUUGCUCUCUGGCGGUUCCUGCUCGGGGUUGGGUGUGAGGCCGAGGCCGACCCCGGCGGGGAUGUGGCGGUCGGGAGCGUGAGAAAUCUGGCUGCCCGGUACCGGAAUGCGCUGACGGGGAGGGCGCGGUGGAAAGAUAAACUCGGCCUUAUCUGCGGUCGGCUGGGAGCUUGGGUGGGAAGCACUGAUAAGGAACUACAGCUGUAUAAAGGCAAAGGAAAGUAAGGAGUCAGGGUGCUAGGGAGCGAAGCAGUAUGGAGAUGGCGAUCCUGAGGCUGAAAGGUAUAGAGAACAGCGAGCGAGCCUCUUGCUCUUUUCACCGAAGGAGUUACGGCGGCAGGGUGAUGACAACAACACGUGCAGCUCUCAAAGUCUGUUAAAUAAAUACAUAAAAUGA